rnacentral:misc_RNA from 1 species
GUUACAGUAUCUUCAAGCACCAAAUUGUCUGAAGAUGCUGUAACUUGGUUGGAUCCCUGGGUGCAGCUAUCAGCAUUUGACUUCGACAAUGAACAUGCAGUGACAUGGAACAUGCAGAAAGCAUGGGGGUAUUAACUUCUUUCAAGGAAUCAAUCCUCAAAAGACUUUCAAAGUGAUCUUUACACAUUUGAAGUUUAAACCACUCAUUGUGUGUGUGAAGCAUUGCUCUCAUUAUCUUCAUAAGCUGUGGUUCUUCAAUACCGAGCCUCCUACCAACUGCAACCUGGAGAGAAGUUGCAAGAGAAUUUAAAGGCAAGCCUUUUCCUAAUGCAUGUUCAUUAG